rnacentral:lncRNA from 1 species
UCUAUCUAUCUAUCUAUCUAUCUAUCUAUCUAUCUAUCUAUCUAUCUAUCUAUCUAUCUAUCUAUCUUUAUACUUAUACUAUAUUAAAAUAUAAAUAUACAUAAACCAGGAAAAACCAAAUAAAGAUUUUAUGCUUAUAUAUAUAUCUUUGCUUAGUUUGCUAAAUAAAUAAAUAAAUAAAGUUUGCUAUGAACACUCAUGAUAAACUCUCUCAUGGAAAUGAUGAAUAGUUGCUCUGCCAUGACUAGUUCUUAAAAUUGAAAUCUCUCUCGAGUACUUGAUCUAAAGUCUAAGUCGUUAGCGGAUAUGAUAUGGGAAGGUUGAGCUGCUGUUUAUCUGUUCCUAGAGAUGCUAGAAUUCUAGAGAAUUUUAUCUUUGAAAAAUCUUUAAAAUAUCACAUGAUGAGUUCCUGUAUGAUGAGAGUUUAAAAUCCUACCACAGCCAUAUAUACAUGCUUGCUAGACUUUGAGCCACACAUUUACUUUUUACUGCUUAUGAGCAUUGAGUGUGGUCAAGCUGUGUAGACCCUUAGGAGCUUGUCAUGUGGUUAAAAUCAAGAUUCACUUGCACGUUCACUCAUACAUGCUACUUCUACUCCGGAAGUACCAUCCACAUAUAUCCACUCAUUUCCUUCUCCACAUUCACCCGAAAUUAUUCUACUCCUAAUCCGGGAGAGAAUAGCCAAAAAUAUUUUCCUAUCCCUGUUAUUCCCUGUGAAAUAAAUGCUCAAGUUAUCUUGGUUACUACCACUUGCUAUAUUAUUUAAGGAGAUGAGUGCUCUAAAAAAAGAGAAAAAAAUAAUAAUACGAGGAAAUAAAAAGGGGCAAGUGCCCGGAACCUCGAAGAAAAGAAAAAAGUGAGACGAGAGGUAAAAAUGGACAAGUGUCCGACAGUAGAAUUAGGGGUACAAGAUACCCACCUGAGAGGAAAGAAAAAGAAAAUAUAGAGCAUCUCAUUCUCCCCAAAAAGUUUUAAAGUGCAAGAAAGGUAUGUAUCCCCUUAAAAGAGCAAAAGUAGAAUUAGACUUUCACCAUUGUUAUCACCAUCAUCACCAUACACCAUUCAUUCGCCACGCAUGCACAUCUUGAUUUGACUUAUUGACUUGUUUCUUUGGAUCCAUGGUUUGACUAUGCAAUAAAUGUCUUGUAAGUAUGUAUUAGCUGUCUCCCACCUAUGAGCUCCAGAUAUCAAAACCUUAUUAGAGUAGGGUGAGAGAGAAGACAAUAUCACUAUGCCUCAUACCACAAAUACUACAUACUUUGAGAGAAGGCAUAUACCACUACUGCCUUGGUAAGGAUCCAGAAAUAUCACAAAAGAGAGACUAGAGAGAAUUAUACAAGGAAUCUCUGAGUUUUAUUUGAAAAUCUGCAAAAACCCCAGAGCUAUAGCUGAUCAAGAAUAAGAGACAUGGCGCUUGACUUGACCAUUCUAUCUUUUAACUGCUCAAGACACAAGUGACGGUUACAAGCCCCAUGGUGAAAGGUAAAAUGAGUAAGUUUUAAGUCUUAACAGUUUAUUCUAACUCAGAGAUGAGAUCUUGCUUGAAUGCGUGUGUACUUUUAAGGCAUGAAACCACUGUAGAAACUCUUGAGUUCAUCCUUGCUCAGGGACGAGCAAGAGGUGAGCUUGGGGGAGUUUGUUGACAGUCCUUAAGUAUCAAAUUUAAUUAUCAAAUAAAUAAAGAAAAGGAUCCAAAUGCAACCAACACCCAGACUUAAGGUUUUAUCUAACAGAAUUCCACGAGUUUUGGUGUUUGUCUAUUUCUGCAGGGGGUUAUCAGUAAAUAUGGAAGAAAGGCCCACACGUCGGGAUUACAUAGAGAUAUUAACGUGCCGCGUAAUUUUCUAUCAUCUAGAAGACUCCAGAAGCCACGGGAACGAACGGGAGGCCGAACGGGCCCGGGGGCAGGGCGCCCGCCCACUCCCCUUGGGCGCCCGCCCAGGUGUUUCCACCAAUCACAGAAUGGAGUACACCAUUGCAAAGAUCUCGUCGAGCUGAUCGAAAUGCAUAUAUUAUUUGCUAUAUUUGGAGUUCGGAAUCAAGAGAUAUUAAUAAAAUAAGGACUCCACAUAAAAGAGCUGCGGGAUUGAUUGGGCCCAAAUCAGAUUUUGGUCCAUUAAGGCCUAUGUGCAUUUUAAUGAGAUAUGGUGGAAAGUUUAGUACCACAUCGCCUGCUGAAUCAAAAACGCACAGAGGAGGAGGACUAUAUAAGCAAGGCCCCUGGCCUCUGGAGGAGGACAAGAAAUUAUCAUAGAGAUUGAAGGGUGCCCUCGAAGGAAAACCUCUUCUCUAAAUAAUAUUUCUUUUUAGGCUUAGCAACCAAUGUAAGGUAGAAAUAGAUCUUCUAGUUUCUACUAGAUUGAGAGAGAUAGAGUGGAGGUGUAGAUCGGAGGAAGGCCGGCC